rnacentral:rRNA from 1 species
GGAUUCCCCUAGUAACUGCGAGUGAAGCGGGAAAAGCUCAAAUUUAAAAUCUGGCAGUCUCUGGCUGUCCGAGUUGUAAUCUAGAGAAGUAAUGCCCGUGCUGGACCGUGUAUAAGUCUCCUGGGAUGGGGCGUCAUAGAGGGUGAGAAUCCCGUCUUUGACACGGACUACCAGUGCAUUGUGGUAUGCUCUCAAAGAGUCGAGUUGUUUGGGAAUGCAGCUCAAAAUGGGUGGUAAAUUCCAUCUAAAGCUAAAUAUUGGCGAGAGACCGAUAGCGAACAAGUACCGUGAGGGAAAGAUGAAAAGAACUUUGGAAAGAGAGUUAAACAGUACGUGAAAUUGCUGAAAGGGAAACGCUUGAAGUCAGUCGCGUUGGCCGGGAAUCAGCCUUGCUUUUGCAUGGUGUACUUUCUGGUUGACGGGUCAGCAUCAAUUUUGACCGCUGGAAAAAGGCCUGGGGAAUGUGGCAGCUUCGGCUGUGUUAUAGCCCCUAGUCACAUACAGUGGUUGGGAUUGAGGAACUCAGCACGCCGCAAGGCCGGGUUUCGACCACGUUCGUGCUUAGGAUGCUGGCAUAAUGGCUUUAAGCGACCCGUCUUGAAACACGGACCAAGGAGUCUAACAUGCCUGCGAGUAUUUGGGUGGAAAACCCAAGUGCGUAAUGAAAGUGAAAGUUGAGAUCCCUGUCGUGGGGAGCAUCGACGCCCGGACCAGAACUUUUGGGACGGAUCCGCGGUGGAGCAUGUAUGUUGGGACCCGAAAGAUGGUGAACUAUGCCUGAAUAGGGUGAAGCCAGAGGAAACUCUGGUGGAGGCUCGUAGCGAUUCUGACGUGCAAAUCGAUCGUCAAAUUUGGGUAUAGGGGCGAAAGACUAAUCGAACCAUCUAGUAGCUGGUUCCUGCC